rnacentral:rRNA from 1 species
UACGGGGGGGCAAGCGUUGUUCGGAAUUACUGGGCGUAAAGGGCUCGCAGGCGGCCGACUAAGUCAGACGUGAAAUCCCUUGGCUUAACCAAGGAAUGGCGUCUGAUACUGGACGGCUUGAAUUCGGGAGAGGGAUGUGGAAGUCCAGGUGUAGCGGUGAAAUGCGUAGAUAUCUGGAGGAACACCGGUGGCGAAGGCGGCAUCCUGGACCGAUAUUGACGCUGAGGAGCGAAAGCCAGGGGAGCAAACGGG